AGGAUGAGCGCGCGCGGCAGGCUUAACACAUGCAAGUCGAGGGGUAUAGUAGCAAUACUAGAGACCGGCGCACGGGUGCGUAACGCGUAUGCAAUCUACCUUUUGCAGAGGGAUAGCCCAGAGAAAUUUGGAUUAAUACCUCAUAGUAUAAUUGAAUGGCAUCAUUUAAUUAUUAAAGUCACAACGGCAAAAGAUGAGCAUGCGUCCCAUUAGUUAGUUGGUAAGGUAACGGCUUACCAAGACAACGAUGGGUAGGGGUCCUGAGAGGGAGAUCCCCCACACUGGUACUGAGACACGGACCAGACUCCUACGGGAGGCAGCAGUGAGGAAUAUUGGACAAUGGGCGCAAGCCUGAUCCAGCCAUGCCGCGUGCAGGAAGACGGUCCUAUGGAUUGUAAACUGCUUUUGCACAGGAAGAAACAUCCCGACGUGUCGGGACUUGACGGUACUGUGAGAAUAAGGAUCGGCUAACUCCGUGCCAGCAGCCGCGGUAAUACGGAGGAUCCAAGCGUUAUCCGGAAUCAUUGGGUUUAAAGGGUCCGUAGGCGGCUUUAUAAGUCAGUGGUGAAAUCUCCCCGCUCAACGGGGAAACGGCCAUUGAUACUGUAAGGCUUGAAUUAUUAGGAAGUAACUAGAAUAUGUAGUGUAGCGGUGAAAUGCUUAGAGAUUACAUGGAAUACCAAUUGCGAAGGCAGGUUACUACUAAUGGAUUGACGCUGAUGGACGAAAGCGUGGGUAGCGAACAGGAUUAGAUACCCUGGUAGUCCACGCCGUAAACGAUGGAUACUAGCUGUUGGGAGCAAUCUCAGUGGCUAAGCGAAAGUGAUAAGUAUCCCACCUGGGGAGUACGUUCGCAAGAAUGAAACUCAAAGGAAUUGACGGGGCCCGCACAAGCGGU
rnacentral:rRNA from 1 species